rnacentral:ncRNA from 1 species
CAGAGUAGGAGAUCCCGCGUUAAGUGCCACUGGGACGGGGAGUUGCCCGGAGGACGAAGGAAGUAUUCCACGAUGGGAUCACCGCACCCGCUGU